GCCAUAUCACGUUUAAACACCGGUUCCGGCACGAUCGCCGAAGUUAAGCGACGUCGAGCCUGUUCAGUAUCUAGAUGGGUAACUGUUUGGGAAUACCAAGUGCUGUAAG